rnacentral:rRNA from 1 species
CCUGCCCUUGAGUGAGGAAUAACCAUCGGAAACGGUGGCUAAUACCUCAUGAUGUCUGAUUCUCGCAUGGGAAUUUGAUCAAAGCCUUCGGGCGCUCAGGGAUGGGCCUGCGUCGGAUUAGCUUGUUGGUGAGGUAAUGGCUCACCAAGGCAACGAUCCGUAGCUGGUCUGAGAGGAUGAUCAGCCACACUGGCACUGAGACACGGGCCAG